GUGCUUGCUUCAGCAGUACAUAAACUAAAGUCGGAACAAGACAGAGAAGACUUGUGUGGCCCUUGAGCAAGGAUGACAUGCAAAUUUGUGAAGUGUCUUAUUUCUUA
ensembl:snRNA U6 U6 spliceosomal RNA